CCUGUUGAGCUUGACUCCGGUCUGGUGCUGUGAAGAGACACGAGAGGUGUAGGAUAAGCGGGAGGCCGGGCGUGCCCUCGGUGGUGCGGCGUGACCUGCCUGCCAGCGUCCCGGCCAUCGGUGAAAUACUACAACUCUGAUCAUUUUUUUCACUUACCCGAUGAGGCGGGGGGGGGCGAGCCCCGAGGGGGGCUCUCGUUUCUGGUGCAAAGUGCCUGGUGUGACCCGCUCCAGGGACAGCGGCAGGUGGGGAGUUUGACUGGGGCGGUACAUCUGUCAAAGCGUUACACAGGUGUCCUAAGGCAAGCUCAGCGAGGACAGGAACCUCAUGCAGAGAAGGGCAAAAGCUUACUUGAUCUCGAUCAAGCGGCAGGUGGGGAGUUUGACUGGGGCAUCACCAGAUGCCAUGCUAGUGUGAACAUGACCAAAGG
rnacentral:ncRNA from 1 species